rnacentral:rRNA from 1 species
CCCUUAGAUGUCCUGGGCCACACGCGCGUUACACUGAUGCAUUCAACGAGCUUAUAACCUUGGCCGAGAGGCCUGGGCAAUCUUGUUAACGUGCAUCGUGAUAGGGAUAGAUUAUUGAAAUUAUUAAUCUUGAACGAGGAAUUCCUAGUAAACGCAGAUCAUCAAUCUGCAUUGAUUACGUCCCUGCCCUUUGUACACACCGCCCGUCGCACCUACCGAUUGAAUGGUUUAGUGAGAAUUUUGGACUGGAACUCCCUUGCUCAGCAAUGGGCGAGGGGGAGUCCGGGAAGCUAUUCUAACUGUAUCAUUUAGAGGAAGUAAAAGUCGUAACA